CCUACGGGUGGCAGCAGUGGGGAAUAUUGCGCAAUGGGCGAAAGCCUGACGCAGCGACGCCGCGUGAGGGAUGAAGGUCUUCGGAUCGUAAACCUCUGUCAGCAGGGAAGAACGGUCACUGGGCUAAGCAGCAGUGAAUGGACGGUACCGGCAAAGGAAGCACCGGCUAACUCCGUGCCAGCAGCCGCGGUAAUACGGCGGGUGCGAGCGUUAAUCGGAAUUACUGGGCGUAAAGCGCGCGUAGGCGGUAUGUCAAGUAAAGGGUGAAAUCCCCGCGCUCCACGUUGGAACUGCCUCUGAAACUUGCAACCUGGAGUGUGUGAGAGGCUAGUGGAAUUCCAGGUGUAG
rnacentral:rRNA from 1 species